rnacentral:misc_RNA from 1 species
GAAUUUUGGGUUCUCUUUGGUGGUUUUGCUCCAAUUGGCAAAAAGGUUAUUAGCGAAGAUGAUAUUGUCCCAGAGACCACACCUGCUAAACUAUAUAGCAUCAGUAAUGGUGAGGCGAAGGUUGUAGAAGGUGAACCGUCCAAAGGCCUGCUAGAAAACAACAAAUGCUAUCUACUGGAUUGUGGUGCUGAGGUAUUUGUUUGGGUUGGCCGUGUAACACAAGUGGAGGAGAGAAAAGCUGCCAGCCAGGCUGCUGAGGA